UUCCAAAUUGUUCAUACUUUAUUUUUUUUGUAACUUGGGCUUUCAAUACACAAUUUCUUUUUCUAGGAAGAAUCCUCUCGAUCGACAUCGACUCCUCGAGUAUUUGCAAAUCCGGCAAAAUCGAUUACGAUCUUAGAUUAGUUGAUUCCGCCUGAAACACGAUGCGAUUGAUUGGGUUUCUCACUCAUCCUCGCCGUCUCUGUAUCGGUUAAUUAGGGUUUUGUAAAGAUGACAGUAUCGCUUGGAAGAAGAAACUCCACCUGCCAGAGUUGCUGCUUUUACAUUCCUGGAAGCUUAUUACUCUGCGUGAAACCAUCAUCGCCAAGGUAAAAUGCUCUGUCUAUGAAACAAAAAUGCAAGUUUGUUUUUUGUUUUUUUUUUCAAAGGAGGUCAAAGACAAAAUACAUUAGAUCAGUUAUAAUCGAUGACAUCGCAUUUUUGAAAUCCAAAGAGAUCAUUGGCAAGCACUAACCUAAUAGUGUUCUGUCCUAUUAUUA